rnacentral:rRNA from 1 species
UACGUAGGUGACCAGCGUUGUCCGGAUUUACUGGGCGUAAAGAGCGCGCAGGCGGUCGUUCAAGUCGAGUGUGAAAGCCCCCGGCUCAACUGGGGAGGGUCACUCGAUACUGAUCGACUUGAAGGCAGGAGAGGGAAGCGGAAUUCCCGGUGUAGUGGUGAAAUGCGUAGAUAUCGGGAGGAACACCAGUGGCGAAGGCGGCUUCCUGGCCUGUUCUUGACGCUGAGGCGGCGAAAGCUAGGGGAGCAAACGGGG